UGGAACUUUGCAGUAAAAAUCACUAAGAUUAAUUAAUCAUUGUAGCAACCUCGAGUGCUGAAUCUGACAACACAAAACUAACAGUCCACUAUAGAAUUUCAUAUUUGGAGUUCUAGGAAACUAAAAAUUAUGAUCUAUACCAGUCUGGAAAGCUCGAAUAAAAUUACAAAAAUUAUGAUCUACACCAAAAAUUAUGAUAUAUACCAAUCUCUUAAACCAUGUGGCCAAAAAUUAUGAUCUAGGACUUAAUGGAACGAUCUUUGAGUCUUCUACAAAAACCUCUGCAGGUGGAAAAAUUAAUUCGGAUUGUAGAAUAGCCAAAUUGAUGACGAAUAGGAACUACCCAAAACAGUCAGCCAGCAGAGACUAAGAAUGAGAUUAGUAUCUAGUCCCCCUACCAAUCCAACGAGAACAGCUAGUUGUAGGGAUUAAAACUCAUCUAAAAACAAGGGAUUUAGGUUAAAAUCAUCUCACCUUGAUUCUCCAAAAGAAAACCUAGUGUUUCUGCAGCUCCUUCCUCUCUUUUUCUCUCUACCGCUUUCUCUCCUCCUCUCCCUCCUUCUCUUGUUUCUCAGCAGAAGCAAUAGAUCAGCAGGUUAUACGGUAGCAAAGGAGGUCACGACCACAGCGGAAAAGGGGGAUGGAAGGGUCAUGGGUGGAAAGAGGAGUAAAGGAAAAUAAAUGCUGCAAAGGUCUGUCCACGGGAGAGGGAAGAAAGGAAAUGGAUUUGGUCAUGGUCACGUGUAUUUUAUUUCUCCAUUAAAAAUUGAACCAAACUUCAUACAAUUGCCAAAAAUUCAUCUGAUAUCCAAAGUAAACAUAUUGGUACCAAAAUGGAAUCUUCUUGACGAGCUCUAUGCAAUGGUGGUCCCCAAUCAUCCAUCUGAGCCACCAUUCAAAAAGUAAGUUUUUGACCUCUUUCCAAGCGCCCAGUCAACAACUUCUAUAAGAAUUUCCUGGGUACUACAUUCUCUC
rnacentral:lncRNA from 1 species